ACGCUCGACACCUACGGGAGGGCAGCAGUGGGGAAUAUUGCACAAUGGGGGAAACCCUGAUGCAGCGACGCCGCGUGAGCGAAGAAGUAUUUCGGUAUGUAAAGCUCUAUCAGCAGGGAAGAAAAUGACGGUACCUGACUAAGAAGCCCCGGCUAACUACGUGCCAGCAGCCGCGGUAAUCUGAGCGGGCUGGCAAGGC
rnacentral:rRNA from 1 species